UACGGAAGGCAGCAGUGGGGAAUAUUGCACAAUGGGCGCAAGCCUGAUGCAGCCAUGCCGCGUGUAUGAAGAAGGCCUUCGGGUUGUAAAGUACUUUCAGUCGUGAGGAAGGUGUUAAGGUUAAUAACCUUAGCAAUUGACGUUAGCGACAGAAGAAGCACCGGCUAACUCCGUGCCAGCAGCCGCGGUAAUACGGAGGGUGCGAGCGUUAAUCGGAAUUACUGGGCGUAAAGGGCACGCAGGCGGUUAAUUAAGUUGGAUGUGAAAUCCCCGGGCUUAACCUGGGAAUGGCAUUCAAGACUGGUUAGCUAGAGUCUUGUAGAGGGGGUAGAUUCCAUGUGUAGCGGUGAAAUGCGUAGAGAUGUGGAGGAAUACCGGUGGCGAAGGCGGCCCCUGGACAAAGGACUGACGCUCAUGUGCGAAAGCGUGGGGAGCAAACGAGGGAUUAGAUA
rnacentral:rRNA from 1 species